GUCUACAGCCAUGCCACCCUGAACAAGCCUGAUCCCGUUUGAUCUCGGAAGCUAAGCAGGGUCAGGCCUGGUUAGUACUUGGAUGGGAGAUCACCUAGGAAGACCAGAGGCAGUAGGUG
rnacentral:rRNA from 1 species